rnacentral:tRNA from 1 species
GGCUGGAUCACCUCCUAACAGGGAGACAAACCUAAUCAUGAUGUCUGAGUUUUUUAGUCUUAGGCCAUGAUUCUGUCACCUUAGGUCGAUCGGUACCUCAAGGAACAAGCCAGGGAGACUGAGCAAUCAGAGGAGCCUGGCGAGUUUUUUCAGUUCUUAAACGUUGUCUAGGUCACCCCAUGGCUCCUGGGCCAUUAGCUCAGGUGGUUAGAGCGCACCCCUGAUAAGGGUGAGGUCCCUGGUUCAAGUCCAGGAUGGCCCAUGCACAGCCUGGUGAGCAGGCAGGACUUGAAAGCUGGGGGUUUAGCUCAGUUGGUAGAGCGCCUGCUUUGCAAGCAGGAUGUCAGCGGUUCGAGUCCGCUAACCUCCAUCGCAACGCAAGAGCCCACAAGCGCAAGCGCCAGAAGCGCAAGCGGAGGAGGUAGGGAGUGACCGAGACGGGGAGCAAGACGGGAACGAGAGGAGCUGAGGACGAUUCCAGCCUUCAGGAUUCAAGCGAUCAACUGCCAAAGAAGCAGGAAAGCGUUUGAGUAUUGAAUGCUGGACUCACACCCACCGAGAGCUGUUGAAACGGUGAUGGGUGGGUGAUUGGUUCAGCGUCGAACCUUGACAACUGCAUAGGUGAGUCUGGAAAGAAAGCAUCUCAUGGAUGACCAGUGAAAACUGGAAAUUCUAUGACGUAAAGAGCCGAGGCUUUCCAGCGUUCUUCCAAAGCUUUGGCCAAUCCAGCCAAAGGGAGGGAGUUUGAUUUUGCGAUUCAAACCGUGAUGAUGCUGUGAUGAGCAGUGUGAUCAGCA